CAGCAGCCGCGGUAAUACGAAGGGGGCUAGCGUUGUUCGGAAUCACUGGGCGUAAAGGGUGCGUAGGCGGGCAUUUAAGUCAGGGGUGAAAUCCCGAGGCUCAACCUCGGAACUGCCCUUGAUACUGGGUGUCUUGAGUCCGGAAGAGGUGAGUGGAACUGCGAGUGUAGAGGCGAAAUUCGUAGAUAUUCGCAAGAACACCGGUGGCGAAGGCGGCUCACUGGUCCGGAACUGACGCUGAGGCACGACAGCGUGGGGAGCAAACAGGAUUAGAUACCCGAGUAGUCCCUGUCUCUUAUAA
rnacentral:rRNA from 1 species